AUUGAACGCUAGCGGGAUGCUUUACACAUGCGAGUCGAACGGCAGCGCGGACUUCGGUCUGGCGGCGAGUGGCGAACGGGUGAGUAAUGUAUCGGAACGUGCCCAGUAGCGGGGGAUAACUACGCGAAAGCGUAGCUAAUACCGCAUACGCCCUACGGGGGAAAGCAGGGGAUCGUAAGACCUUGCACUAUUGGAGCGGCCGAUAUCGGAUUAGCUAGUUGGUGAGGGAACGGCUCACCAAGGCGACGAUCCGUAGCUGGUUUGAGAGGACGACCAGCCACACUGGGACUGAGACACGGCCCAGACUCCUACGGGAGGCAGCAGUGGGGAAUUUUGGACAAUGGGGGCAACCCUGAUCCAGCCAUCCCGCGUGUGCGAUGAAGGCCUUCGGGUUGUAAAGCACUUUUGGCAGGAAAGAAACGUCGCGGGCUAAUACCCCGUGGAACUGACGGUACCUGCAGAAUAAGCACCGGCUAACUACGUG
rnacentral:rRNA from 1 species